GUGGGCAACCUGCCUGUAAGAUCGGGAUAACUCCGGGAAACCGGGGCUAAUACCGGAUAAUUCUUUUCCCCUCAUGGGGAAAAGCUGAAAGACGGUUUCUGCUGUCACUUACAGAUGGGCCCGCGGCGCAUUAACUAAUUGGUGAAGUAACGGCUCACCAAGGGCACGAUGCCUAACCCAACUGAAAGGGUGAUCGGCCA
rnacentral:rRNA from 1 species